CCUACGGGUGGCAGCAGUGAGGAAAAUUGGUCAAUGGACGAAAGUCUGAACCAGCCAAGUAGCGUGAAGGAUGACUGCCCUAUGGGUUGUAAACUUCUUUUAUAAAGGAAUAAAACGAGGCACGUGUGCCUUUUUGCAUGUACUUUAUGAAUAAGGAUCGGCUAACUCCGUGCCAGCAGCCGCGGUAAUACGGAGGAUCCGAGCGUUAUCCGGGUUUAUUGGGUUUAAAGGGAGCGUAGGUGGGUUGUUAAGUCAGUUGUGAAAGUUUGCGGCUCAACCGUAAAAUUGCAAUUGAUACUGGGAGUCUUGAGUACAGUUGAGGUAGGCGGAAUUCGUGGUGUAGCGGUGAAAUGCUUAGAUAUCACGAAGAACCCCGAUUGCGAAGGCAGCUUACUAAACUGUGACUGACAUUGAUGCUCGAAAGUGUGGGUAUCAAACAGGAUUAGAUACCCUAGUAGUC
rnacentral:rRNA from 1 species